UUAUCUUUGACAUACUAUUGCUAAAUCUUUAGGAACCUGUGUUCACAUUUAUUUUUUGUUUUUUAUGAUGUUCAACUGUUAUGGUGCAUUUCUCUUACAUUUUGGCAAGUGAAAAGUAAGAUGGAUAUCGAGUGUAAUUUUUGUAAAAUAAAGAUGGUGUACGUGUAUUAUUUAUAAAAGACAGGGGUUGCAUGUGCUUUUACAACCUCAGGGAUUAAAUGUGUAUCAUUUUUAAAACAUGAGGGCUAUGUGUGCCCCCUGCAAGAUGCAAACAGAAACGUGGAGGAUAAAAAAAGCAGGGAGGGGCUUACCUAUCACCACUGUGGAGGAGGACAUGCCUUGCACCACCUGGAGGAGACACAUGGAGGAGAAGCGCAAAGGAGAAACGUGAAGGAGACAUAUAUACCGUGCGACGGUGAUGGCGACCUUCGCAAUCAUUAUGGGAUGCAUCUCCUCAGUUUUAUCGCUUCUCUAUUUGGUCUGUGUUUCCUACCGAUGGUGUAUUUGUUCGUGAAUUUGAUGGACGAUUUCAAAAAAAUUCACCGACGAGUUACUUCAUUUUACUGGAGUGAGCAGUGGAUUCAAAACUCAUUCCAACAUUUACAUUAUCGAAGGUCAAGUGCCUAAAUCCAAGGUUACAAAAUAUUAAUAUAGAGAGAUAUAUUAAUAAAUCACACUUGGUGCAUUAUGAGUCUCGGAUGCAUUCUGAGCCUUGUGUUUGGUGAUCUUGAACAAUAUGACACAAUUCUUGAUCCACUUUACAAGAAAUAUCUUGAAAUUAUUAACGGUGUUGAAGCAGAUUUCUGCUUUCUCUCUCCA